CUUUGAUUUCUCUCAUGAACAUUUUUAAAGACGUGCCUUUGCAUCUGUGUUUGUUUAUAAUGAGAGUAAAUGUAAACGUGAUGUGUUGUUUGUGGGUCUUUGAUCGUGUGGAAUAUUUCUGCUGCUGCAGCUGAAAUCCAACACUUUAGUUUUUUCUUUCUAUUUGUUUAACGUGGAAACUUUAAACGUGGUCACAGGACGUCUCCGGUCCAAUAACAGUGCAGGUGUUUGGCAGCAGUGAUGAGUCUGACCUUCACCAGCAGAGGGAUCUAAUAAAUAAGAGUGACGGCGGUUUCUUCAUCUAUAAAAGCUGAGCGGUUUCCUCUGUUACUGCCUGCAGAAGGUAAAUGAAUGUAAGAGCUGGUUUUGUUUAGUUUUUGUUACUUUUAAAUCAUGAGGAGGAGAAGGAGGAGGAGGGGGGUUGUUGGGAUAAGUUCUCAUGAUAAGAACAGGCUGUGAGAGCAGCUGACUCACAGUGAUGGAGACACCCAGAGUCUGAGCAAACGGAUGAUCCAGCUAAGAAAAGACGUUCAUCUGUUUGUAUUUUUGCUUUGUAAGGUCCAUCUGCAGGAUCCUCCUCCUCUCCAGACGAAGAUCCAAUCACACCUGAGGAACAAACUGCUGCUCAGGGAAAGGUUUCGAGCUCUUUGAUGAUAUUUUUAGGUGAACUGGGAGAAUCGUUCUGAAUAUGGACGCAGACUCCCUGUGACUGUCGUAUCUGACCAAUAGGAGGUGCUGCAACACAACAUCUGUAUCUCCAGUAAUCAGCAGGCGACCUGUCCAAGGUGUAGACGGAGAUGAUCUCAGUGAUGCAUUCAGGGAGCGUUUGAAGGGCGGCUGCAGGAGGUGAAGCCGAUUAUUCCACGUCCCUCCUGGUUUAAACAGCCCUGUAUACAGGUGCUGCUGCUCUGCAACCACGUCCACCUCCACCCACCUCCCCUUUAAUGCUUUCUGAUCUCCUGCUGUUAGUGACGCUCGCUUUGCUCUGAGCGGGGCAGGAAGUGAACCUGGAAAAUAUGAAUAAGUGUAAAUGGAAUAAAAAGACUAUUUAACUUCUACGUCAGCUCUGUCACCAGCUCCUUAUGGUGCAGGUGAGAGUUUGAUGACCAGUCACAGGGAUGAUGCUGAGUCUGCUGCAGCUCUGUUAAGUUUAUAACAGAUAGUUCUGGCCUCUGAACACCAGCAGCGCUCCAGCAGCCUCCCACGGUCGUGGCCACACAUCUUUUGGUUUGCUGGAUCCACUCCUGCUUCAUCAGAAAACCCAGAUGAUCAGUUUGCAGACUUUUCUAGUCACCUUUUAAGGACUGAGCACAGAUUCUCAAUGGGAUUAAAGACCGGGGAGUUUCCUGGCCUCGGAUGCAAAUUGUUAAUUUUCUGAUCUCAGAGCCGCUUAGUGUUGAGUUUAGCCUCGAGACGCGGCGCUCCAUCAGGCUGGAAAAUGCACAGACUCCAGAACGCUCCUGGAUCUGUGGGAGAGGCUGGUCAUCGAGGAUGUUUGUGGUGUGGUCAGUGCUUAAAAAGCUGAAACCUGUGAUCAGCGUGGAGCUGUGGCAUCCCCAUCAGUCAGCGGUUGGCUCAGAGGCUGAUGUUCAGCAUGCACAGACCUGCAGACGUUCUAAAGAAGAAAGGUCACCACGUCUCAGCUGAAUUUUGAACGUUUUUUCUGAGCUGUCUUUAAACAUCGAUUAUCCUUCAAUAAAUCACAGAAACAUGCAAAGAACUCAAACUAAGUUCUGUGAGGAGCAAACGCUGGGCGUGAGGAGUGAAUGCAGCUCAAAGCUGUGUGAAGUCUCUCUUCUGUUUCACGUUGUAUUUUGACAUAUCUGCAUUUUCACACAUGUCAGAGGGAAUUUGAAUAAAGACAAUAAAAACCAACACCUGU
ensembl:lncRNA